UAUUUUGUCCUAAUACCAUCGCCUUACUGGGCUGGUAUUCACAGGACAACCCUUAACAGACCGAAAUAUUAUUUGAUAAAAUAUUAAAUAAUAAUCUCAGAUUCAUAGUCACAGCAAAAGCAAAAGUCAUUUAUCAUAUUAAGCAGUGAUAUUGUAUCUUCCACUGUAAAAAAAUAAUUUUAAAACAAAGAUUUAUAAAAACAUUUGGAAUUAAAAAGAUGGAUGACUUGAAACUACAAUUCAAUUCAAAGAUACUUUAUUGAUCCCUGAGGGGAAAUUAGAAUUCCAGUACAACCCAUCCAAACACUCUUGCUUUAUCCUAUUUCAUACAGACCUGAAAAAGCUGACUAGUGGAUCAUGCAGGAACAAAUGACCAAAUAUGAUGGACGAUGCUCGGAAAUCUGUGGUUUGUGGUGGAAAGUCUUCCUUCCCCUUUUGUUUUCCUUUUAUGAUGACCAUGACUUACAGUUACAGAAAAAAGGGGAAAUACAAUGACCAACAUGUGAUGUUUUCUAUGAAAUAUUGCUGAAAACAGAAAUGAUGAAAAAUUGAUAUAGCAUGAUAUAGAAAGAAAGCCUCAUGGGCACUAGACUUGUGGUCCAGACAAAAUUGUAAAAGAAAAUCCUUACAACUUUAGUGCUUAUUAUUAUGAAUAUAUUAUUUAAUAUUUAUUAUUUUAAAAUUUAAUUCAAUAAUAAUUCAGCCUGUUAAGUGUUGUGAAUACCAACCUAAUAAGGUGGUAGUAUUAGGACAAUAAUGAAAGGGAUGAGCCAAGCUCUGGAAUAAAUUCACACAAUUUCUUAAUGUCAGAGUUCGAUAUAAUGAUAAACUCAGAAAAGGUAUGCAAACCGCUUUAAUUAGUGUUGCUUCUAGAGGCCUCAGAAAAAAAGUCUUGUCUUAUUACAUCAUUUUGAUGAAUGAAUCCUGGGUACUCGAACAGCAAAAUCAUUACUUUGUUGCACACAAUCGGUGUGAUCGUAGUCACUUUUGGAUCCAAGGAUUCUUCAAAGUACUCUUCAAGUUACUCUUACUCGCUUGCAAGUUUUAAAGCGUUCAGCUGACGCGUGGUCUGGUCAAUCCAUAAGACGCUGUCUGUAGCCGGAAUGAGACUGAGCGGAGGGGAAAUGUGCCCUUGGGUUAGAGAUUCCAGCUCUGAUGCGCCCUCUUCCUUGGCUGUGUUAGGAAUGUUAGAAGGUUAGUGAGAUUUUGAAAGGUGUAGAAAAGUUCAUACUGGCCUUCGUUUAUGUACAGUGCAGAGUCCAAAUUCAUCCAUGUUCACUUCAUGGCGGGGGUCCUAACACAACCAAUCAUGCAGCAGAGGACUCACACUGGUUUCAAUAAGGAAAAAGCUCAACUAAAUCUAAGUCUAAAUUAAUUUAUAAAAUAUAUAUUUAUGUAUUUUUUCUAUGGUAUUCCUUUAUUCAUAUAGUUAAGAGCAGAGCCAUUUUUGUCUCUGGACCAGCUAAAUAACAUUUAUUUAGAACCACAAAAUAAACAUGACUCUUCUACAUAAAUGUUGUUUUCGUUAUACCUACUAUAGGAAAUUUUAGCAAUGGGAUAUUUGAUUUUUAAAGAAAAUUAUAUCAAAAAAGCAUGUAGUUUGCAGUCUACUGACAUAAAAAAAUAUUCCUUACACUGUCAGUGUCAUUCUUUGUAGAAAUGUUAUGCAUGUAAAGUUUAGGGCAUUAAAACACAUAGGAAAAAAUGCUUAAUGUUUACUAUCUUUACAUUUUAAAACAUAAUUUAAUUAUUUAGUAUUUUGACCAAAGUUAUUAGGAGGAAGAAUAGAGGGUCUAAAGAGAUACUUGUGGCUCCAGAGCCUCAGGUUGCAGAUCCCGGGUUUAGACCAAAGGAUAUUCAUAUGUUAGAAUUGUCGGGGUUCUGGGUUCAGUGUGUGUGUUGUGCUUUGUUUGUGACUUUGUUUUCAGUUUCCAGAUGGUGCCGGAGUUUUUCAUGUGUGCUGGAUGACAGGUGCGACUGGUCUGCAUUGCUUUGAGGAGUAUUUAAGCAGGAGGAUGGCAGCACUUCGAUGCCAGAGUGUUUGCCUUCAGUGGCAGAAACCUGAACCUUCUGAUCAUUCUCCAUUGAACUUUAACUCUGGUUCCAGAAGUUUCUGGACGAUCAAGAUUACCUAUGUUUGGUGGAUUUUCGUUUGGAUUUCGUUUCCAAGUACCAAGCUGGCAUCUUCCAAGGCAGAAGCGUACCCUGUCCACUCUCCAACGCAAAUACCUGAACAUUGAACUAACUCCUGAACUCACCAGAACUCACUCUGCAGCUCAAGUAAACCAUCUGGAUUUUCUCCGUUUCGCACACCUGGGUCCCGACUCCCUCUACCCCUGGCGACCUGACUGCACUCAUUUAUUGGCGAUUCACCCGUUCAUGUUCCAGACUCACUUAUUGUAAAUAAAACACCUUUUGCUGAUUCAGUUGUUCCUCAGAGUGUUCUUCUGUAUGUGGGUCAGAUCUAUUACGAAAACAAUGACAAGAAUGACCCAGUCAAAGUCCACAACUAAAUCUAAUAAAAAAUAUGUGGCAACACUUGAAAACUGGUAUUUACACAGAUGCUCUCCAGUCGAUCUGACUGACCUUGAGUAAUUCUGUAAAGAAAGGGCAAAACCAGAUUUUAAUAUAGAAAGCUGAUAACCACAUUUUAAUUGCACCAAAAUGUGAUUCUACAAAGUAUUGACUCAGGGAUUAAAUACAGAUGCCUGCCACACUUUUCAAAUUUUGUAUUUUUUUUUUUUUAGUUUUGCUGGGAAUUGCAGAGGUUAAAAACAUAUCAUGAGAAUACAUUUAAGCCAAAGAUUAUUCAUACCCCUGGCAGAUUUAGGUUGAAUGUAAUCUUUUGGUUUUAGCAACAUUCUUUGGAGAGGCCCAGCCACAGUCCUAAUUUGAAUCUGAAACGUGCAAAUGUCGGGUCAUCACUUAUAAGAGUUGGAUUGGAAUAAUGCCAAUAAAAGGUUGUCAAUUUAUGAUUAAACAGGGCAGAAAUUAUUUUUGACAUUCCAUUUUUUUAUAAAGAUUUUCAAAUAUAUGUGUGUGUGUGUGUAUAUAUAUAUAUAUGAUGUAGUUUCCUUUUUUUCAAAACUGAUA